CCGUACAUACAAGUUUCACCGUAAAGAUUUUUUAUCACCAGAAAAUUAUUAAGGGAUUGGUAGGGUUUGAAUUGAUCUGUCGAUAUAUCGAGGUCUAGAGAAUCGAAACAAAAUAUCGAUAAUCAUAUGCUAAAACAUCGAUUCUAUAACUCCAUAGAUUUGUUAUUGUAAGAACGGACACCCAAAUUGCGAUUUUCUAACGUUUAAUUUCACAAUUAAAUUUCAACUGUCCCUUGCGAAAUCCAAUCAUGUUCUAUCGUCUAGUAAAGCGGUACGUACGGUCUAAUACCUAUGGGUCUUCGUGCAGUGCAAACUAUGACGAAACAGAAUGCAGGAUCGCGACAUUUUUUUAUAACCUCAACCUGUACGGAAUCUGAAAAUUAUCAAAGGCCCCACGACGGAUCAAGCCAUCUUGGAUUUUCAAUACUCUAUGCAAAUUCAAUAAUGACGGCUAUAAUUGAACCAGAUGACAUCUCUAGAUACUUCUGACAUUAUGAGGCAAUUUACCUCUUGGCAAACAAUGUAUAUACCAGACUCAAGAGUAUAAUAAAUAUUUUAUAAACAAUUUCAUCGGACUAAAUUUUCGGUGGUGCUUGCGUCCAUGGCGAUGUUACGAAAAGAAUGUUACUUUCAACGAACAAAUGAAUAUCUAUUUUCAAAUAGUUUUUCUCACUAUAGAUAAAAACAAAUAAAUUCAUGCGCAUAAGUACACAUACAUAAUUAAUGUCGCCACGAUGUAAUAAAGUAUAUUUAAAAAAUUAAUUUCCAAAUCAAUGACACGAUAGGAAGAGGAAUGUAUUCUCCAAUAAAAAAAAAUAACCUCCAAUGGCGAAAUGGAAUGUACUGCCAGUCUGAUGAGAAAGUGCUAAACCCUACAUGUGAACAAUAUACAGCUAUGAGGACGGGACCCUGACGGGACGCGAAGUUUCAGCAACAUGGCGGAUACGCAACGACGCGCAACACGAGGACAAUGCAAAUAGUUUGCAAGAGACGAGAGAAUUUGAGUACCCUGGAGAGAAUUUCAACGCGGGAAAAAUAGUCAGAGAGAGAAAGAGAGGCAGAGAGGAAAUGACUAGAAAAGAAAACACCGUAAGCAACGGUCAGGACUUGAAAUCAGAAGACACGGUUGAAAGAGGAGCGGAGAAACUUUAAAAGACUUAAGAGGGCCAGGAAGGCACGCCUCCUAGCCUCGUUAGUCGGGAUCGUAGCAGCAGCGGCCGUUCGCUCGUUCGUCCGUAUGCGUCGGCGAUUGUUAACAAUGUUAGCCUUCCAAGUACUUCCUGGAUGCUUUGUGGGAAGCCGGCACUGCGUGCUAUCAAUUUACCCUUCUGAUUGUUGCUGACCAAAGACCAGAGCGUGGAACCGGCCACUCC